rnacentral:ncRNA from 1 species
CAAUCCGAGAGGAACGGUCUGAAGGAAGCCGCUAGCAAACCUGUAUGCUGAUGAACAAGAACAUCCUAUGAGGUGUAUACGGAAGGCCGCCCGCAGAAGGGGAGUCAGCACAAGAUCCGGAACGUCGGCCGGACGAAGCCAGAUAAUCUGAUGGCCACAGUAAAUGAUGCAGUUGUGCGGGGAAAGUUCAUGUU